AUGGCCGGAUCCAAAGCCGGAAGUGCCCCAGAAGCUAGAAAGAGCCUGCCGGCGCCAAACUCCAACCCAGCACCCAGUGCAGUUCCAGCUUCGCCACAGCUACAGCUGUUAGCGUUCAGGAACACACAUAAUUACGGAAUGAUUAUAUGAAGCCAGAAGAAGCCACACAGCAGAAGGAAACACAAGAUCUCCACAAAGAGAACUAGAGUCUUCACCUCACCACUAGCCCAGAAGGACAAGCACGUCUAGCCCCGCUGUCAGCUGCUUCAAACCCACUGAUGUUCAAGGCAGAAAACGUUCCCACUAGAGAUCCACUGAUCUUCUGGAUGGAGUGCAGAUUCUAAGGAGCGAGGAGACCAAGGCUUCGGAUCAACAGGACAGCCCCAGGUGUACUGGACUCGAGUCGUAGGUGAUCAAAGACCGAAUAUGGUUUGUACUGUCACGAUGCUUCAGGUGAGGCCCUCACAGAUAAAGGUCAGUGGCAUGAUUGACACAGGAGCAGAUGUCACCAUUAUCUCUGCCAACACAUGGCACUCAUCCUGGCCUACCACACCUGCAGGAUCUGCUGUUGCUGGCCUUGGAGGGACCCCACAGAGCUGUUUGAGCAGCAAUCCUGUGUUUAUCAAAAAUCCAGAAGGCCAAGUAGCCACAAUAUGGCCUUACAUCACUGCAGUGCUACUGAACUUGUGGCGGAGGGAUGUUCUGUCAGCAUGGGGGUAGAGUGGGAACGGAUUUUUUGACAGGGGCCACUGUAUUGAUGGGUGAAAAUUAUCCUACACCAGCCCUGAAAUGGCUUACAGAUCAGCCCAUGUGGGUGCCACAGUGGUCCCUUGAAAAGCUAGAUGCCCUAAAAUCAUUAGUACAAGAACAGCUAGCUCAAGGACACAUAAAGCCAUCUAUAAGCCCUUGGAACACCCCAGUAUUUGUCAUUAAAAAAAAAAAAAAAAAUCUGGUAAAUGGAGAUUUCUCCAAUACCUAAGAAAAGUCAAUUCUGUGAUAGAAAGCAUGGACACAUUGCAAGCAGGGAUGCCAUCUCCCACAAUGCUACCUACCUCCUGGGACAUUCUGAUAGUAGAUUUGAAAGAUUGUUUCUUCACUGUGAUAAAUGUGGCAUUGGAUAAAAAUUCGUGAAGGAGAAUAAAGAAAUAUAUAUUUAUAAUAAUGUAAAGAUAUAAAAUGUAGUAUGAUCUAAAGAUUCCUUUCCGAGUCAGGCGGUAACGAUCCACUGCGACGCUUAUCAGCCCGAGAUAAAGAGCAGGACACAGGCAAUCAAGCUCUCAAGACAAUGAGAGUAGCCUGGCUGAGAUAUCCAUCUGCUUCACACCAAAAAGCCAUAGUAACAUGGAAAGAGGAGGGUGAGUGGCAAAUGUUGGAAAGUUAUCAGAACGGACCUCCCCACUUGGUAGAAUUACAUGCUGUAGCUAUGGCUUUCCAACG